rnacentral:rRNA from 1 species
UUGUGAAAUCUAAUGGCUUAACCAUUAAACUGCUUGGGAAACUGAUAGUCUAGAGUGAGGGAGAGGCAGAUGGAAUUGGUGGUGUAGGGGUAAAAUCCGUAGAUAUCACCAAGAAUACCCAUUGCGAAGGCGAUCUGCUGGAACUCAACUGACGCUAAGGCGCGAAAGCGUGGGGAGCAAACAGGAUUAGAUACCCUGGUAGUCCACGCCCUAAACGAUGUACACUAGUUGUUGGGGUGCUAGUCAUCUCAGUAAUGCAGCUAACGCAUUAAGUGUACCGCCUGGGGAGUACGGUCGCAAGAUUAAAACUCAAAGGAAUAGACGGGGACCCGCACAAGCGGUGGAGCAUGUGGUUUAAUUCGAAGAUACGCGAAGAACCUUACCUGGGCUUGAUAUCCUAAGAACCUUAUAGAGAUAUGAGGGUGCUAGCUUGCUAGAACUUAGAGACAGGUGCUGCACGGCUGUCGUCAGCUCGUGUCGUGAGAUGUUGGGUUAAGUCCCGCAACGAGCGCAACCCACGUAUUUAGUUGCUAACGGUUCGGCCGAGCACUCUAAAUAGACUGCCUUCGUAAGGAGGAGGAAGGUGUGGACGACGUCAAGUCAUCAUGGCCCUUAUGCCCAGGGCGACACACGUGCUACAAUGGCAUAUACAAUGAGACGCAAUACCGCGAGGUGGAGCAAAUCUAUAAAAUAUGUCCCAGUUCGGAUUGUUCUCUGCAACUCGAGAGCAUGAAGCCGGAAUCGCUAGUAAUCGUAGAUCAGCCAUGCUACGGUGAAUACGUUCCCGGGUCUUGUACUCACCGCCCGUCACACCAUGGGAGUUGAUUUCACUCGAAGCCGGAAUACUAAACUAGUUACCGUCCACAGUGGAAUCAGCGACUGGGGUGAAGUCGUAACAAGGUAACCGUAGGAGAACCUGCGGUUGGAUCACCUCCUUUCUA